rnacentral:lncRNA from 1 species
ACAUCCCCGGAGGGAGCCCAGCGAGGACGGCAGCAGCUCGGAGGAGAACGUCCUCUACCAGGCUGUCAUGGACGGCAGGGUGGCCAUCGAGGUGACACGGGGACAGGGGGGGACAUGGGGACAGGGGGGGACAUGGGGACAUGUUGGGGGGCACAGGGACACACAGGGAUAAAGGGACACGCGAGCAAAACCAGCUCCCAAAGGGACACGGGGACGUGUCCACCUUGGGAAGGGGACAUGGGGGGGGGGCAUUUGCUCAAAUGUGGGGCCACCACGUGUCACCACGUGCCACCACAUGUCACCACGUGCCACCACAUGUCACCACAUGUCACCACGUGUCACCACGUGUCACCACGUGUCACUGUGCCCGCAGGUGGCGGUGGACGAGUGGCUGCAGGGCUACAAGCGGGACCGGGAGCCGGCCUUCCUGGAGCUCGUCAACUUCAUCGUCCGCUCCUGCGGCUGCCGAGGCACGGUGACGCUGGCCAUGCUGCGGGAGCAGCAGAACACCGAGAUCAUCCAGCGGCUGACCGAGACCUUCAGCGAGCAUUUUGUCCCUUGUGUCCUGGAUGCUUUAUAUUUUUCGUAUUGCUGCUGUUUUGUUAUUUCUGUGAGGCGGCCAUCUUGUCACCUGUGUGACGCCGCCAUCUUGUCACCUCACUUCCUUGCUAUUUUGUCCCUCUGCAUCCCUGCCACUUUGUCACCUGUGUGACCCAACGCUUUGUCCCUGUGUCCCCAACACGUUAUUUUUCUGCGUUGCCUCCAGUUUGUCAUCUCUGUGAGGCAGCCAUCUUGUCAC